rnacentral:rRNA from 1 species
UUCGGGUUGUUAAAGCACUUUCAGUCGUGAGGAAGGUAGUGUAGUUAAUAGCUGCAUUAUUUGACGUUAGCGACAGAAGAAGCACCGGCUAACUCCGUGCCAGCAGCCGCGGUAAUACGGAGGGUGCGAGCGUUAAUCGGAAUUACUGGGCGUAAAGACGCAUGCAGGUGGUUUGUUAAGUCAGAUGUGAAAGACCCGGGGCGUCAACCUCGGAAUAGCAUUUGAAACUAGGCAGACUAGAGUACUGUAGAGGGGGGUAGGAAUUUCAGGUGUAGCGGUGAAAUAGCGUAGAGAUCUGAAGGAAUACCGGUGGCGAAGGCGGCCCCCUCGGACAGAUACUGACACUCAGAUGCGAAAGCGUGGGGAGCAAACAGGAUUAGAUACCCUGGUAG